GGCCAAGCUGGGGCCAGUUGUACUGUUAGAGGGACCAGUUACAUUAGACGUUAUUGUUCUUCACUGCAUUGUAGGCAUUAGCAGGCAAAAUACCAUGUUCAUAAUCAUCAUCGUUGCCACUGUCUAAUAACGGAUGUAAAAAAGAACGAUAGCAAAAAUUAGUUAUGUUAAAAUUAUUGUGGCCCCCCCUCCCCCCCUGCGUGACCUGAGCGCGUCUGGUGUGGGUGGACAAAAAAGCACGAGUGCGGAUCGGGUACUGGCUAGAGGCGGAGAGGGUAGUAAGUAGGGCUGCACGCACCAGUAGAUAACAGUAGCCAGAAAAUACUGGGCCGGUACCAAAGGAUACAACCGCCAGGUGAGUUUAUUGUCAUUGUAUCGGUUGGGUCGUUGAAUGUUGUUAUAGAGUACCGCUGUCUUUCAUGGUGUUUCAAGACCUUAUUAUGGAAUUGUAUCACAUGUCAAGGUCGGCCACGCUUGUAGACGUAGAAUAUAUCAUCUUAUUUUGCAUGGAAUAUAACCGGAAAUAUCAGAGCCAUAUUGAGCCUAUAUAGCCUAUUUAUUUGAAUAUAUCGUACUGUUCUGAUGGCCUCUAGAUCGUUUUGGCCAGACGAUCGUCUGACCCAACUCGAUAACCUUGUUGCGGUCUCAGAGUCUACGCGCCAGGAUAGGGAGCAGGUCGACGUUUGGCACGAAUCUUGCCCUGUAUGCAGAACUGAGCGAUUUCCUCUCUGGGCCAGCGGUUUUUGGUCUUAAUUUAACGUUUGAGUUAGGGUUAGCAGUGUGGUUAAGGUUAGGUUUAAAAUCCGAUUUUAUGACUUUAUGGCUGACAUCUCUGCAGAACUGCCUCCAAGGUUGGAUUCGAAUAAAAGUUGCAAUGAAGGACAUGUGUUUCCGGUGUAAUGACACAAAGUGCCCAGAGGUGACGAAAUGUUUUGAUCAUAAUGAUGACCUGAACCAGAAUCUGCUGAUGGUGCCAGGUCCUUUCCAGCAAUGCACAUCCACCCCCUAUCCUCCUUCUGGGAGGUGCACCAUGUGUAGUCUGGAUUAUUAUUACACUGUGUGCAGAAACGUCUCAGAGAGCUUCCAGCCUGCCCUGGAGGCCAACAGCACAGCCAUUACCAACUAUGAACAAGCCAAUUGCCUUGUCAUCGGCAUCGCACCAACUACUGUGAAUGGUUCAGACUUCACUGGAGCUGCUGCUCAAUAUGGACAUCCUGGGUGGUGGUGUUUACUUAUCCCUGUCCUGGUCGUUGUUUGCAUUGGCAUCAUUACUUACAGGUGUAUCAAGAAGCGCAAAAUAAAAAACUAUGUCAUAUAAGGCACUCAGGACUACCCAUCCCUUAACCAAGCUAUUUGGACCCAACCCCCAGAGAAAGUGACAGGGACAGCACUCAGGACUACCCAAACCCCCAGAUCAGGAUGCUGCUGCGUUAUCUCUGCCUUAAUUCCAUCACUUUAACUCUUCUUCUUAAAGUUGUAAUCUUUUAAUACGUUUUCAUAUUCAUAUUCUUGUAAAUCAGUACCGUUAAACCAGUGCCUUGGAUAAUUUUUGGUCCUCUAAUACUGACACCAGCCGGCUAAAGCCUACUCUUAUUCUUAGGAAUAAGUAUGGAAAUACAAAUGUUUUACCCAUGACGCAUCUACCAGGGUAUUUUGAAUGGGGCAAAAAAGGAAAAUAUGUCCAGUUAUUAAUCAAGCAGAGAUAAGCUUAUUCAAAAGUUGAUGCACUUUAACCCACCAAUGAAUUAUAAUUUACACAUGUUCUAUAACACCCAUUCCACCUUUGAAACUUCAUAUGAGUCUGGUCUGCACAUGGCUGAGGGAGGAAUGUAGUGAUUUAUAAUACAAGUUAUUACCAUCAAGAUGAUGGUACAGGACCCCACUACUGAAAAUCAACCUGGGUUCAUAAAUGAUUUGUGCCAUCCAUCUCCCUAAUGAAAAGGAUUUAUCCUAGCCUUCACCACCACUGUACUGUAUGUAAAAGCAUUAUGUUGUACUGUGCUAUUUGUCUAUGUCAGUACUGUAUUUCUAAUGCUAGUGUUUGUGAAAUGCAGUAAGUCUAUUUACAAGUAUAUUUAUGCUGUAAAGCAGGGUUUCCCAAAGUCAUUUAAAUUGGUUAUUUGAAUCAGCUGUGUAGUGCUAGGGCAAAAAAGAUAUAUGGACCCAGGGUGGGCCCCACAACUGAGUUUGGGAAACCCUGCUGUACAUUAUGAGGCUGUAAUACUCUAUUCUAUACCAGUACUCAAGUGUUGGAGAAAAGCAUCAUGAAAUAUUUACUUCUCUUUCUCAAAUAAAUCUUUAUAUAAAUGAA
rnacentral:lncRNA from 1 species